rnacentral:tRNA from 1 species
UAUUAAAGUGUCUGAGUUGCAAUUAGAUGAUGUGGGCGCAGCUUGCAGGUCUUC